GAUUCCUGGCUCAGGACGAACGCUGGCGGCGCGCCUAACACAUGCAAGUCGAACGAGCGAGAGAGAGCUUGCUUUCUCGAGCGAGUGGCGAACGGGUGAGUAACGCGUGAGGAACCUGCCUCAAAGAGGGGGACAACAGUUGGAAACGACUGCUAAUACCGCAUAAGCCCACAGGUCGGCAUCGACCAGAGGGAAAAGGAGCAAUCCGCUUUGAGAUGGCCUCGCGUCCGAUUAG
rnacentral:rRNA from 1 species